ACAUGCAAUCCUCCUGCUUCUGUUUCCUCAAUAGCUAGGACUUGUGGGAAUUUUAAAAGGAUUAAAUGAGAAGCCUGGCAAGCUGCAUGUACCCAACAAAAGAGCUCCCUUGUUACAGGUGGGGAUGCUCUGAGAAUCAGGGGGUGCUCUGCUGCCCUCUCCUGCUGUGGCUCAGAUGCCAGUCUGAUGUAAAUGGGAUUCAAGUUUACAACUAAACUGCCUCCAAGCCUUGACAUCCUUGGAAGCUUUUCAGAGAAUCUAGUCCCGGAGCAUCCCUGAAAGAAAGCAGACAAAGGCAGAGGCUGGAAUCACUGCUGUCGACACCUCUGAGAACACCAGAGCAAAGUAGAAGAGGGUGUAAACUUUCUACCUGAAAAAAGGAAACUCCUCCGAAGGCUUGUUAGGUUAAAAUUGAGCGGGUAUCCUGCCCCUCCUUUUAGUCUUCAUCCUUUCCACUAUCUGGAGGGAGAAAGUAGGAGGUGGAUGGACCCAAAAGCCUUUCAGUCUGAAGUAUUCUCUACUUGCUUAGUGAAAGCCCUCCCAAAUCAUGGAUUGAAUUGUUCCUAGGUAAGUCUACUCCCUCUGUCUCCCCCUAUCACCCUUCCCUAACCCCCCAAACACACACACACACACACACACACACACACACA